GACGAACGCUGGCGGCGUGCUUAACACAUGCCAGUCGAACGGAAAGGCCCUGCUUUUGUGGGGUGCUCGAGUGGCGAACGGGUGAGUAACACGUGAGUAACCUGCCCUUGACUUUGGGAUAACUUCAGGAAACUGGGGCUAAUACCGGAUAGGAGCUCCUGCUGCAUGGUGGGGGUUGGAAAGUUUCGGCGGUUGGGGAUGGACUCGCGGCUUAUCAGCUUGUUGGUGGGGUAGUGGCUUACCAAGGCUUUGACGGGAAGCCGGCCUGAGAGGGUGACCGGCCACAUUGGGACUGAGAUACGGCCCAGACUCCUACGGGAGGCAGCAGUGGGGAAUAUUGCACAAUGGGCGGAAGCCUGAUGCAGCAACGCCGCGUGCGGGAUGACGGCCUUCGGGUUGUAAACCGCUUUCGCCUGUGACGAAGCGUGAGUGACGGUAAUGGGUAAAGAAGCACCGGCUAACUACGUG
rnacentral:rRNA from 1 species